GGCCGCCUGGCGAAAUGGUAUCGCGUCUGACUACGAUCCAUGUAUAUCAGGAGAUUGCAGGUUCGAGCCCUGCGGUGGUCA
rnacentral:tRNA from 1 species